AGACGUGAACAUAGCCCUGCUAUUGUCCCACAGAAGUUCAGGAAUCAUUUGGCUGGUUUUUCAGGACGCGAUGGAUUCAAGAAUUGUCUCUCUUUUGUACGGGGUUAUUCUUCUGAUGGGAAUUAAUUUCGCUGGGACAUAUUCGCAGAGAACUCUUCUUCACACAGGUGAAUGUAAGAAAGAAGAAUUCUGGAAUUCUGAUGUAAGCCGGUGCUUGCCCUGCUCUACAUGCAAAGAAUUUCCAAAAAUUCCAUCAUGUGACACAUGCACUGUAAGCGAUGAAGCCUCAUACACCUGGAAAAUCACUGCCAUUACCAGUUUAUCUGUGCUGGCAGUUGUAAUUGUUUCUGGAGUGUUGCUAGGAGGAGUACUGGUACAUCAAUACCACUCUAGGAUGAGAAAAACUCUAUGUGAGCCUAUCGAGGAGACUACAGGACCUCUAUAUCAAGUAUAACCAUUUCAGUACAUUGGCUAAGAGUUGUUUGGGGACUGACGCAGAUGGAGACCAAAGCACACCAGUCAACUCAAUCUAGGACUGAAUUAUUUUUUUUACCGGAUGGGGACCAAAGAGUCUUGAGGCAGUUUCACAUUAUUUUACAUUAUUUUCUAAAACUAUAUAAAAUUAUAAUUAUUGAUAUUUAGAUAUUUUCAUAAUAGUCCAUCUUUGGAACAGGGCAAUUUGCAAACACAGAUACUGUAAAGUAAUAUCCCUGGGGGGAACUUGGAUAUUUAAGAGAGACUUAUGUCAGUCAUUGGUCAAUUUCAUGAGCUCUGUAUUUUAGGGGUACCAACACAGAGUGCACAAAUGGCAAUUCACUGAGACCUAACUUAUUUAUAUUUGCUAUUUUGGGUGAAAAAGAAAAAGUGGAUUACUAGCCCUUAAAGUGGUAAUCCAUGAUUUUUUCAUAUGAAAAAAUGCCAUAUUUGAGACAUAGUUCCACUGGCAUUUCUCUAGGAAUGACCAUUGAGACCAUUUUUAUGACAUUCAAUGUUUCUAUAUAUUCAAAUUUGAAGUUAGUGGAGGACUUGCCACUGCCACCGUGUACGGAAAUGUACACAAGGAAGCCUAGCAGAAAUUUGUUUUCAGUGCUGAGAUACAUCCUUGUGGCAGGAAUGCAAGAGUUUGAGUGGCAUAAACACAAGAGGAAGAGAAGUUUGAGCACAGUUGUCUUUGUUUGAAGAAACUUCACAACAAUGGAUGAAAGUACAAAUAAUAAAGUGACCAAAAAAAGGAAACCACACUAACAAUCAGAAGAAGGAAAACAUGUGAGAUGGCUGUAUGGCUGUAAGAUUAUGGGAAUUGAAGUGUAGAAUAAACCUGCCAGUCAGCAUGGGUGGCCAUUAAAUCCACCAAAACUGAGGAAAUCAUAGAUUUGCACAAAGAUUAUUUUCAAACACUCCAGUCAUUUUGUUCUCAGUGAUUUUCUAUAACUGAUUUCUGUACCAUGAGUGUCUGCCAUAGGGUAAAAACUGACUGGACUGCUUCUUGGUAGUCAUCAGUCAUGCUGGUUAAAUAACAAAAGUUCAAGAUGAAAUAAGCACCAACUGAGAAAUGGGACUGGUAUGAAAAUCAAGUGCCUGCGGUAUUCAUCUACAAAGGAAGCAAUAUUUGACUGGAAAACCCAUGUUUACCUCAAUACACAUCGCACAGCAAUGGUGUGGUGGAUAGAAGCACAAAAUGGCAGUCAAUGGCCUCUCUAUUAGCACAAAUGAUAUGGGUAAAAUAUUGGUCUCACAAGUGUCUCGCUUUUAUGUAUAUUGUUUUUUUGAAGUUGUUAUUAGAGAAAAUGAAGGGUAAUGUAAUCUGUAAUCAAACUGUCCCAUCAUCUCUGUUAUUUAUGAACUUGUUCCUUAGUUUUAGUGAAAUUCUGAGCUCCAUAAAUAUUUCAUUUUUAGAAAUAGUGGUAAAGAUUGUUAUGAGGAUAUUACCCUGGAAGAGGUAUAAAAGGAUACAAUAUUGCUUUUUCAGCUUCAUAUGCCAUGCUUUGUUUCCAUUUUAUUUUGUAAUAUACAGUCCCCUCCAAAAGUAUUGGAACAGGAAGGCCAAUUCCUUUUUUUUCUUCUGCAGUACACUGAAUACAUUUGGGGUUGAGAUAAAAAGAUGAACUUGAGACACGAGUUCAGAAUCUAAUUCCCUGACAAAACAGGAUUACUUUAAAAAGAGACAGGAACCCAUGAAACAUUAACCCUACUUCAACAACCGAAGCAGAAUGCCUAUACCGAGGCUAGAAUACACAAAUAAUGAUAAAGAUGUGGGGAAAAGAAACUCAGCAUACAACCAGCUAGGGUUAUGGUAUUGCAGUGGUGACUGAGAAGCAUUUUAGCUAAUGGCAUUACGCUUCAAACAGUGUAUAGUUUGUUAGGUUUGCCUGUGUACAUUAACACGUACGCUGAAAAUUGUGCUUGAGAUUCUGUGCCAAAAAAGGGUGACGUUUUACAACAAAAAAAAUACUUUGCAAUGCCGACAUCUAAAUAGAGGACUUCCAAGGAAAAUCUUGUCUGAGUGAAUAUUUCUGAGGAAGACGUGGUCCCAUUUUAUAUCAGUGGUCCUCUAAAUACAUUCUCAAAAUAGUUUAUUAUUAUUCAGUAUGCUUAUAAGUAAGAAGCAACCCUGCUUAAUACAUGCAUAGCAUGUGAAAUUGUAGAAUGUGUUUGACUUGUUGAUAGGGGUUGGAUACUUGACAAAAACUUCAUCUACGUCUUGAAAGCCGGUGCACGAAAGGAGGGAAAAUAUUUCAUCAAUAUUAACUUAUUUUUAUUCAAAUAGAACAUACAA